UACGUAGGGUGCGAGCGUUGUCCGGAUUUACUGGGCGUAAAGGGCGCGCAGGCGGUCUUGAAAGUCAGGCGUGAAAGCCCCGGGCUUAACCUGGGAAUUGCGCUUGAUACUCUGAGACUGGAGUACGGGAGAGGAGAGUGGAAUUCCCAGUGUAGAGGUGAAAUUCGUAGAUAUUGGGAAGAACACCAGUGGCGAAGGCGGCUCUCUGGGACGGUACUGACGCUGAGACGCGAAAGCGUGGGGAGCGAACAGG
rnacentral:rRNA from 1 species